rfam:Triticum aestivum genome assembly, contig: Triticum_aestivum_CS42_TGACv1_scaffold_000237_1AL
AUGAUACCCCCUCCCUUCGGAAAUACUUGUCAUCAAAAUGAAUAAAAGCAAAUAUAUUUAGAACUAAAUUACGCGUUCUAAAUACAUCUCCUUUUAUUUAUUUUGAUAACAAGUAUUUCCGGACGGAGGGAGUACGUA